rnacentral:SRP_RNA from 1 species
AUCGCCCCGCGGGGGGCUAGGGUGAACCCCCCCAGGCCCGAAAGGGAGCAAGGGUAAGCCCGAUGCCCCCGCGCGGGGUUUUAAA